UCGCUGAAAGCAUGUAUGUGUCAUUUCUUUCUUUAAGCCUUUAAAGUAUUUAUUUGUUAUGUUAUUAUUACAAUAAUGCACUGUAAAUAUUAAUAGUAAUUUGCCUAUGUGAGUUUUGUUUCACAAGACUUGCAGAAAUAGUGACACCUACAGGUUAAACUAGUGAGCUGCAUUUAAUUUAAGUUACUGUGGUCAUGUGAUUAGCCUAACUAAUAGCAGUGCAAAAUGUGCAUGCAGUUUGUUGGUGCUACGCUGUACACGGAGUUAGAUGCUAAAGAAGAGAAUAAUUAAACAGUAAAGCGUUACAGCAACUCCUAGAUUUCUGGUCGGAAGGCGCACACGGUAUGUUAGUUUGUGAUGUUGUGCAUUUCAUGUUUGUAUUGCAAUGUAAUAGCGCAAUGUUUCCUAGGGCCAUUAAUGCUAGUUUAAUAUGUGAGCAAGAUGAAUGAAUACUCAUGGACUCUUAAGAACAUGCUUAUGUACAAUAUGCUCAUGUGAGAAUGUGUUAUGCACUUUAUUUCAGUUUUUCACGUUGUUUGACGGUGUUUGAUGGUGUUUGAUGGUGUUUGACGGUGAUUGAAUGCGCUUAAGUUGUGAAGGAAUGCAAUUAAAGAAACGACAAACAUCAGUUGAAGCGUACGUUUUAAUCUGACCAGAAGAAUAAGUUUGGGAGCAGCUACAGUGAAAAACGUGGCCUACUGCCUUUGGUAAGGCAGUGAAGAAGAACGUAGGCCUAUUCUGGAAAAGCAGUGAAAAACGUGGCCUGCUGCCACGAGCCACAGUGAAGAACAUACUGCUUCGUGAACUGCAGUGAAAAAGUAUUGUUUGGUGUGGUGUAAAACAUCGCCAUCCAUGGACAUGUACAACGUAGCCAUUGGAGAGUGAGCAACGAUCGCCAGCAUCCCAGGGAAUAUUGUACGGGCCGCCCCUUGUGAAGUCUCCGUCCCGCACUCAGCGUAAACGACCUGCCUACCCAUCCUGGCAUUCAUCCAACGUGACCUCGCGAGCUUCAGUUCAGCGUGAAGGUGGAACCCAGAAGAAGACGGUGCAGCAGCUGCCAAGAACGACCACAGGGAAGCAACAACGCGACAUCUUUGGACAAUUGAGUUUGUGAACAUUCAUUACAUCUGGAUUCCAGGUCAGACUGUGCAUUUACAUUUCUCAGUUUUGUUUAAAUUGUUAUUUAUUGCAAUUCCAAUUUAUUAUUUGAAACAAAGGAAAAAUGAGAACUGCAUCUGAAUAGUUUUGUAAGUUGAAUAGCAGUGUGCAUAUAACGUACUUGUUUGAUCAUUUGAAAGUGUGUAUUUUCCUGGUCAUUCUAGUUUACCUUUCAUCAUUUAAUAUUUCAGUAGUGUUGUUUCAAAAUAGUUUACUAAAAUGGAUCAAAGCACACCAGAUGUUUGUGUACUAGAAGGAGUACUACAGGCUCUAGAAAACGAGAAAACAGAAUUACAGAAGGAAUUAGAAACUGAACUUGAAACCUCAGAGAAACAAAGAAUUGAAGAACGGUUAGCUGAAAUUAAUAAAGACCUCCAAAUACAUAGGAUAGGGCUCCAGGAGCCAACACCUGGCACUGAACAAGCAGUGAGGCGGUCAGAAAGAGAAAAACACCCAACAGAAAAGAUGCUUGAGCUCAUUAAACAGGAGAGCAUAAAAAAGGAAAGAAAGUUCAUGUUAACAUAUGUAACCUUCAAAGCUGAGGUUCAGUAUAUUAGAAGUAAACUAAAGGAAGAAUGUUGUAAAUCAGACUUAGGCGAAAUGAUAAGAACCUUGGAAAAGUAUGAGUCAGAAAUAAAGCAGGAAUAUAAGAGCUUACGUGCACUGACCACACCAGCCCAAGAUAUACGAAGGAGAAUGGAUAUCUGCACAUCAGUGACUUCUGAAAUAACUACACUUCUGAAAGUGCGUUACGCAGAAGCUGAUAAAGAGUUUAAUGCAGAAGCUGUUAAGGAAACUCUUUCAAAAUUACUCCAGAGAGAAGACGCAAGGUCAGUUUAUGGGUCAACUGUGUCAAGAGCUGGAGUGGGUAGUGUGCAAGAUAGUCAAGUGUCAGUAAAGAAAGCAGAGGCGGCGGCACGCUUGGCAUCGAAACGUGCUGAACUUAACAGGGAAAGGGAAAUAUCUGCACAAAGAAAAGAGGUGCUAGCUCAACAAGAGAAGUUAAAACUGAUGGAAGAACAAAGGAAUCUUGAGGCUAUGGAAGCUGAAUACAAUGUAUAUGCUGAAGAGGAAUUAAAAUUGAAUGCUGAAAUAGGAGAAACUAGAGAAAUCUUCACUUUGUCUCCAAGUCAGCUUCCAGUGCAGCAUAACAGCACUCCAUGCACCCAGAAUCCCAAAGACCUUUCAAUCCCUUUUUGUUCUGAAAGCAAAAUAGAACCAAAAUCAAAUGAAGCCUCGCUAGUUCAAGCAUUAAAAGAAUCCCUGGCAAUGACUAGACUUCCAGCACCAGAGCCGUUCAUGUUUACAGGAGAUCCACUUAAAUUCACUGAAUGGCGUACCUGCUUCAAGGCCUUAAUCGAAACAAGUUGCACAAACCCAGCUCAUAGGCUAUAUUACUUGAAAAAAUACAUCAGUGGAGAAGCACUUUCUGUGUUAGAAGGAACAUUUUAUAGAAGUGAUGAGGAAGCCUACACGCAGGCUUGGGAUGCCCUUAACAAACGUUAUGGUCACCCCUUCAUAGUUCAAAGAGCAUUCAGGGGGAAGCUGAGUAGCUGGCCCAAGAUUGGACCAAAGGAAUCACUGAAAUUAAGGGAAUUUAGUGAUUUCCUCAUCUCCUGCAAGAAUGCAAUGCCUUACGUUCAUGGUCUAAAGGUUUUAGAUGAUUGUCAAGAAAACCAAAAGCUGUUACAAAAACUUCCUGACUGGGCAACAACUCGCUGGAACCGGUACGUCACUAAAGCACUAGAUGAAGGGAAGCCAUAUCCUGCCUUUAAGGAGUUCUCAGACUUUGUAGCCGAAGAGGCACGUGUUGCUUGCAAUCCAGUUUCUUCUCUUUUUGCAUUAAAACAAGCAGAUGAGAAAAAUGGAAAGGAACAGAAGCGUCUCAAAGCCAGCACUCUAGCAACGUCAACAAAGGUGUUUCAAAGAUCAAGCUUCACUUCAAAGGACUCAAGUGCAUCAGGAAGUUCUACAACCAACUCUCCUGCCACUCAAACCAAAAGACAAAUAGAUUGUGUGUGUUGUCAACAAAAUCACUUUAUUUAUAAAUGUGAAAAGUUUGCAGCGAUGCCUCUAGAGGAAAAGAAAAAAUUUGUCAUUAGCAACAAUAUGUGCUUCGGGUGCCUCAGAGUCGGACAUGUUGCAAAAAAUUGCAGAAAGAGGGCUACUUGCAAUAUUUGUAGACAAAGUCAUCCAUCUCCACUUCACGAAGAACGCCCUGUAGGAGAAAAGCUAGAAGCAUUACCACAAAAGGACAAUUCUUCCAUUGCCUUAUGCACCGUGAGAAUGGACAAUGGUGAUCGCACUUCCAUGAUUGUUCCAGUGUGGCUCUCUAGUGCGGCCAAGAAUAGUCCAGAGACUUUAGUGUAUGCAUUACUGGACACACAGAGUACCAGGACCUUCAUUGACCAUGAUGUCUGUGGAAAAAUUCAAGCGCACACAGAACCUGUCAAACUGAAGUUGUCAACAAUGACUGACAAGAGUUCAAUACUGAAUUGUCACAGAGUUGUUGGACUGAAGGUGAGAGGGUACAAUUUACAAGAGUACAUUGAGCUACCUCCAGCAUACACUCAAGAAUACAUCCCACUAGAGAAGAAUAGCAUUCCCACUCGUGAAACAGCAGCAGGGUGGACUCACCUUCUGAGCAUAGCCGAAGAGAUGCCAGAUCUGUUGAACUGUCCUGCAGGACUUCUGAUUGGCUAUGACUGUGCACGGGCUCUGAAACCAAAAGCAGUGAUAUCAGGGGAAGAGUAUGAACCUUAUGCAGUCAAGACAGAUUUAGGCUGGAGUAUAGUUGGAGCCAAAAUGCCUUGCACUGACAUAAGGGAUGGCGAAGGGUUCUGCCAUCGUAUCUCUGUGAAAGAACUUCCACCUAUCACACCUGCCUCUGUGAUCAAAGCAUUAGAGAGAGAUUUUCUUGACACAAAUCCAAGAGAAAGGACAAUAUCCCAAGAUGACAUUCAAUUUCUGCAUCUCUUGAAUGGGAAAAUUCAAUAUAACGAAGAGGGACAUCUGGAGAUGCCUCUACCAUUUAGAAAGCGUCCUCAGCUUCCAAAUAACAAGCAGCUGGCUACAGUCAGAUUGAAACAUUUAAAAGGAAAAAUGGAAAAGAGUCCAAAGUACAAGGAAGAUUAUAUCAAAUUCAUGGACAAUGUCUUUAGAGAUGGUGAUGCAGAAGAAACAAAUGCCACCACAAAGGAAGGCAACACAUGGUACAUUCCGCACCAUGGGGUGUAUCAUCCUAGGAAGCCUGAGAAGAUUAGGGUCGUAUUUGACUGCUCUGCCAAAUGUGAAGGCACCUCUCUGAAUGACCACCUCCUCACAGGACCUGAUCUAACAAAUACUCUGACUGGAGUGCUGUGUAGAUUUCGCCAGCAUCAGAUCGCGAUUAAUUGCGAUGUUGAGAAAAUGUUUCACCGCUUCCACGUAACCCCAGAAGAUCGGGAUUUCUUGAGGUUCCUGUGGUGGGAAAAUGGGAACACCGCAAGAGAGCCCAAAGAAUACCGGAUGCGAGUUCACAUAUUUGGAGCAGCAUCAUCGCCUGGAUGUGCUAACUAUGGCAUGAAAUACCUCGCCAGCAAAUAUGAGAAUGAUUACCCAUUGGCUGCAGUCUUCAUCCGGAAAAAUUUCUAUGUGGAUGAUGGGCUUAUCAGUGUCGAUUCAGUUCAAAGAGCCAACCAGCUUGUGAAUGAAGCACGGGAAGUCUUUAGUAAAGGACAGCUGCGCUUACACAAAUUUGUCUCUAACAACAGAAAGGUUUUGGAUGUAAUUCCAGAGAGUGAACGGGCAAGUGCAGUGAAGGAUGUGGACCUGAACUACAGCAAGCUUCCAAUGCAGAGUGUGCUGGGAGUGAGGUGGAGCAUAGAGACGGAUGCGUUCUCAUUCAAUGUCGUCCUCAAUGAAAAGGCAGCCACCCGGCGAGGAAUCCUAUCAACGGUAGCUAGUGUAUACGACCCAUUAGGAUUUCUCUCUCCCUACAUCUUGACUGGGAAAAGAGUGCUGCAAGAGAUGUGCAAACGAGGUGUAGGAUGGGAUGAACAUGUUCCCCUUGAACUGAAGCCAAAGUGGGAAACAUGGCUCCAUGACCUGGAAAAUCUUGAGAAAAUUCAAAUACCAAGAUGCUUCAUUCCUGAUCACCUCAGCACGAUACGAAAAAUUGAGCUGCAUCAUUUUUCAGAUGCCAGCAACAAUGGCUAUGGGCAAUGUUCUUAUAUCAGGAUUCUUGCUGAUGAACAAGUACAUUGUGCAUUAGUCAUGGGUAAGGCCAGAGUGGCACCCACAAGGGUGGUCAGCAUUCCACGCCUUGAGCUCACUGCAGCUACAGUCUCUGCCGCUAUGAGUAGUGUCCUUAGAGAAGAGCUGGAGCUGAAGAUAGACCAGGAGUUUUUCUGGACUGAUUCACAGGUGGUGCUCGGGUACAUCAAGAAUGACGCCCGACGCUUUCAUGUUUUUGUAGCAAAUCGCGUCCAGAAAAUAAGAGACACUACUGAUCCUAGUCAGUGGUUCUACGUCGAAACAAGCCAGAAUCCAGCUGACCACGCAUCUAGGGGUCUCAAGGUGGCAGAACUAAUAGAAUCAAAUUGGCUCAGAGGACCAAAGUUCUUAUGGGAACAAGAAAUUGUUUUUAGCCAAAGAUCCCCAGAGCUUCUUGUAGGUGACCCAGAGGUCAAAGUCCUGAAAACAGAUGCUGUUGAAAGAGACAGCUUCCUCCAUAGGCUGUCAAGACUCUCAGAUUGGAAUACAACCCUCAACAUUAUUGCUCGGAUUCAGAGACUGGCACACAAAGACAGGUCUGGACCCAUUAGUGUAGAGGAACGAAGAGGAGCCGCUCUUGUGCUCAUCAGAGCAGCACAAAGAGAAGCCUUUGAAAAGGAGCUGAAAUUGUUUAGUCAGGAAUCCACAAAGCUACCAAAAACUCACAAGAUGUAUCAACUUGACCCUAUCUUUCAGAAUGGAUUGCUCAGGGUUGGUGGCAGGUUGAGAAUGUCCUCCGCAUCAGUUGAGUUGAAACAUCCAGUUAUCCUUCCUAAGGAAGGCAUUGUCACACAGCUUAUACUUGACCACUGUCACAAAAGGACUCAGCACCAAGGCCGAGGUCAAACCUUGAAUGAGCUCAGAGCCAGCGGAUAUUGGAUAAUAGGUGCAAGCAAGGUAGUGGCCAAGCACAUCAAGAGUUGUGUCACUUGCAGAAAGGUGCGUGGACGGACUGAAGAACAGCGAAUGGCAGACUUGCCUGUUGACCGAGUAGAUCCAUCUCCUCCAUUCUUGUACACCGGAAUUGACUGUUUCGGGCCAUUUAACACGAAACAAGGUCGAAAGGAAUUCAAGCGGUAUGGUCUGUUGUUCACAUGUCUAAGCUGCAGGGCCAUCCACUUAGAAAUGUUGGAGGAUCUCACAACAGACGCAUUUUUGAAUGCUUUGAGAUGCUUCAUAGCAAUUAGAGGAGCGGUAAGACAAAUCCGAUCCGACCAAGGUACUAAUUUCCUUGGAGCAAAGAAUGAGUUGCAGAGAGGUCUAAUGGAACUUGACAAGGAAAGGAUUUCAACUUACCUUGCAAGAAAGCAAUGUGACUUCCUGAUGAAUGUGCCUGAAGCAAGCCACAUGGGAGGCAUUUGGGAACGCCAAAUACGGACGGUUAGGAGCGUGAUGAGUUCUGUUCUGGCACAGGCUAAAGGGAGACUGGAUGACACCUCUUUGAGGACAUUCUUCUAUGAAGCCAUGUCAAUUGUUAACAGUCGUCCACUCACAACAAACACAAUCAAUGAUCCUAAAGGUGUUGAACCUUUGACACCUAACCAUUUGCUCACAAUAAAGUCCAUUGUGCCCCUCGCGCCUCCAGGCAAAUUUGUCCGGGAAGAUUUGUAUGCCAAGAAGAGGUGGCGUAGAGUGCAGUACCUCUCGGAACAAUUCUGGAGCAGGUGGCGCAAGGAAUACCUGGCCAGCAUAAGCCUCAGACAACAGUGGCAUGUGCCCAGAAGAAAUGUGCAAGUUGGGGAUGUCGUUAUUGUCAAGGAUGACAAUAUUCCCAGAAAUGAGUGGAAGCUAGCCAGAGUUGUUGAGGCAAGGGCAGAUGGUGAUGGUCUUGUGCGAAAGGUCAAAAUUCAAAUAGGACAAAGUAAUUUAGGAAAGAAAGGUGAGCGCAUAACGCAACUUUCUUCACUUGAGCGUCCAGUUCAAAAAUUAGUGGUGCUAGUGGAGCAGAAUUCAUAGACUAGUAUCCUAAAACAUUAAACAGGAAAUAUUAAACUUUCAGACUAAGCUGUUCAAAACCAAGUAUCAAAAUUACUUGCUAAAUGUAUAGGAAAAUUACACGAUUUAUUCAGUUUAUUCAGAAUAUGGUUAACAUAAAUCUUUGUAAUUUUGGUGGCAGUGUAGCUGUCGCUGAAAGCAUGUAUGUGUCAUUUCUUUCUUUAAGCCUUUAAAGUAUUUAUUUGUUAUGUUAUUAUUACAAUAAUGCACUGUAAAUAUUAAUAGUAAUUUGCCUAUGUGAGUUUUGUUUCACAAGACUUGCAGAAAUAGUGACACCUACAGGUUAAACUAGUGAGCUGCAUUUAAUUUAAGUUACUGUGGUCAUGUGAUUAGCCUAACUAAUAGCAGUGCAAAAUGUGCAUGCAGUUUGUUGGUGCUACGCUGUACACGGAGUUAGAUGCUAAAGAAGAGAAUAAUUAAACAGUAAAGCGUUACAGCAACUCCUAGAUUUCUGGUCGGAAGGCGCACACGUUUUUCACGUUGUUUGACGGUGUUUGAUGGUGUUUGAUGGUGUUUGAUGGUGUUUGACGGUGAUUGAAUGCGCUUAAGUUGUGAAGGAAUGCAAUUAAAGAAACGACAAACAUCAGUUGAAGCGUACGUUUUAAUCUGACCAGAAGAAUAAGUUUGGGAGCAG